rnacentral:rRNA from 1 species
AGUGAACGCUGGCGGUAGGCCUAACACAUGCAAGUCGAACGGCAGCACAGUAAGAGCUUGCUCUUACGGGUGGCGAGUGGCGGACGGGUGAGGAAUACAUCGGAAUCUACUUUUUCGUGGGGGAUAACGUAGGGAAACUUACGCUAAUACCGCAUACGACCUACGGGUGAAAGCAGGGGAUCUUCGGACCUUGCGCGAUUGAAUGAGCCGAUGUCGGAUUAGCUAGUUGGCGGGGUAAAGGCCCACCAAGGCGACGAUCCGUAGCCGGUCUGAGAGGAUGAUCAGCCACACUGGAACUGAGACACGGUCCAGACUCCUACGGGAGGCAGCAGUGGGGAAUAUUGGACAAUGGGCGCAAGCCUGAUCCAGCCAUACCGCGUGGGUGAAGAAGGCCUUCGGGUUGUAAAGCCCUUUUGUUGGGAAAGAAAAGCAGCAGGUUAAUACCCCGCUGUUCUGACGGUACCCAAGGAAUAAGCACCGGCUAACUUCGUG